UUUAGCUACGGAUUUAAUGACGGAUUUCCGUAGCAAUACUUUUGCUACGGAUGUAUUCCGUCAUUAAAGUCAAAAAAAUUACUAUUUUUUGUUAAAAAAAUUUAGCUACGGAAUAACCGUAGUUAAAUCCGUAGCUAAACUAAAAUUUAAUUCGUAGCUACGGACUCUGUCCGUAGCCGGAUAUUGUGACUUAUUAGCUACGGAAUGUCCGUAGCAAAAUCCGUAGCUAAGACCAAAUUUCAAAACUAAAGGUGCAGCCGCGUUUUCCUUUUGAUUUUUCCCUAAUUGCAAACCUAGCGUUUCUCACUCUUCCAGCGCCGUUCAUCCUCGCCGCGCCGUGGUUGCUCCGCCGUUUCUCUCAAAGUCAUCGGCGCCGCCACCGUGCUCGCUCACCGUCGCAGCCGCCGUCAGUUUCUUAGGGUACUGCUGUUGCUAGUUCA